GUAACACGUGAGUAACCUGCCCCUGACUCUGGGAUAAGCGUUGGAAACGACGUCUAAUACUGGAUAUGAUCACUGGCCGCAUGGUCUGUGGUGGAAAGAUUUUUUGGUUGGGGAUGGACUCGCGGCCUAUCAGCUUGUUGGUGAGGUAAUGGCUCACCAAGGCGACGACGGGUAGCCGGCCGAGAGGGUGACCGGCCACACUGGGACUGAGACACGGCCCAGACUCCUACGGGAGGCAGCAGUGGGGAAUAUUGCACAAUGGGCGAAAGCCUGAUGAGCAACGCCGCGUGAGGGAUGACGGCCUUCGGGUUGUAAACCUCUUUUAGUAGGGAAGAAGCGAAAGUGACGGUACCUGCAGAAAAAGCACCGGCUAACUACGUGCCAGCAGCCGCGGUAAUACGUAGGGUGCAAGCGUUGUCCGGAAUUAUUGGGCGUAAAGAGCUCGUAGGCGGUUUGUCGCGUCUGCUGUGAAAUCCCGAGGCUCAACCUCGGGCUUGCAGUGGGUACGGGCAGACUAGAGUGCGGUAGGGGAGAUUGGAAUUCCUGGUGUAGCGGUGGAAUGCGCAGAUAUCAGGAGGAACACCGAUGGCGAAGGCAGAUCUCUGGGCCGUAACUGACGCUGAGGAGCGAAAGCAUGGGGAGCGAACAGGAUUAGAUACCCUGGUAGUCCAUGCCGUAAACGUUGGGCGCUAGAUGUAGGGACCUUUCCACGGUUUCUGUGUCGUAGCUAACGCAUUAAGCGCCCCGCCUGGGGAGUACGGCCGCAAGGCUAAAACUCAAAGGAAUUGACGGGGGCCCGCACAAGCGGCGGAGCAUGCGGAUUAAUUCGAUGCAACGCGAAGAACCUUACCAAGGCUUGACAUACACCGGAAACGGCCAGAGAUGGUCGCCCCCUUGUGGUCGGUGUACAGGUGGUGCAUGGUUGUCGUCAGCUCGUGUCGUGAGAUGUUGGGUUAAGUCCCGCAACGAGCGCAACCCUCGUUCUAUGUUGCCAGCGGGUUAUGCCGGGGACUCAUAGGAGACUGCCGGGGUCAACUCGGAGGAAGGUGGGGAUGACGUCAAAUCAUCAUGCCCCUUAUGUCUUGGGCUUCACGCAUGCUACAAUGGCCGGUACAAAGGGCUGCGAUACCGUAAGGUGGAGCGAAUCCCAAAAAGCCGGUCUCAGUUCGGAUUGAGGUCUGCAACUCGACCUCAUGAAGUCGGAGUCGCUAGUAAUCGCAGAUCAGCAACGCUGCGGUGAAUACGUUCCCGGGCCUUGUACACACCGCCCGUCAAGUCAUGAAAGU
rnacentral:rRNA from 1 species